GUACUCACCCAAUCUGCUUAUUUCAACAAGGAACCUAUGAAUUGUCCCAUCUAUUGGUCAGGAGAGGCAAGAGGCCAUUAGGAGGUUUUGAGGUUCUGUGAAUUACUUGGCAAAGCAGAGCCUUGUCCGCUCUAGUAGAAGACUUGUUUACAAAGCACAUCCAUCCUCCAAAGUCUGAGCUAACCAGUCAGGAGUUCAGAAGAACUCAAUUUCCUGGGCUGACGUUUUUGGACUGUAAUCACUCCAGGUGUUGGGACUGCUUAGAGGAAAUAAAAAGGAAGAACUCA